rnacentral:rRNA from 1 species
GAUGAACGCUGACAGAAUGCUUAACACAUGCAAGUCGAUGGGGAAGUGGUGCUUGCACCAUGGCAACCAUGGCGGACGGGUGAGUAACGCGUAAGGGACUUACCUGCAGGACUGGGAUAACAGGGGGAAACUCCUGACAAGACCGGAUAAUGUCAUGGAGCUGCAUGGCUUUAUGAUGAAAGGAGACGCCUGCGGAGAGCCUUGCGUCCUAUUAGCUAGUUGGUGAGGUAAUGGCUCACCAAGGCGAAGAUAGGUAGCCGGCCUGAGAGGGUGGACGGCCACAAGGGGACUGAGAUACGGCCCUUACUCCUACGGGAGGCAGCAGUGGGGAAUAUUGGACAAUGGGGGCAACCCUGAUCCAGCAAUUCUGUGUGCACGAAGAAGGUUUUCGGAUUGUAAAGUGCUUUCAGCAGAGAAGAAGUAAGUGACGGUACCUGCAGAAGAAGCGACGGCUAAAUACGUG